GAUGAACGCUGGCGGCGUGCCUAAUACAUGCAAGUCGAGCGAACAGACGAGGAGCUUGCUCCUCUGACGUUAGCGGCGGACGGGUGAGUAACACGUGGAUAACCUACCUAUAAGACUGGGAUAACUUCGGGAAACCGGAGCUAAUACCGGAUAAUAUCUUGAACCGCAUGGUUCAAUAGUGAAAGACGGUUUUGCUGUCACUUAUAGAUGGAUCCGCGCCGCAUUAGCUAGUUGGUAAGGUAACGGCUUACCAAGGCGACGAUGCGUAGCCGACCUGAGAGGGGGAUCGGCCACACUGGAACUGAGACACGGUCCAGACUCCUACGGGAGGCAGCAGUAGGGAAUCUUCCGCAAUGGGCGAAAGCCUGACGGAGCAACGCCGCGUGAGUGAUGAAGGUCUUCGGAUCGUAAAACUCUGUCAUUAGGGAAGAACAAAUGUGUAAGUAACUAUGCACGUCUUGACGGUACCUAAUCAGAAAGCCACGGCUAACUACGUG
rnacentral:rRNA from 1 species